UACAGAGGGUGCGAGCGUUAAUCGGAAUUACUGGGCGUAAAGCGCACGUAGGCGGCUUGGUAUGUCGGGUGUGAAAUCCCCGGGCUCAACCUGGGAACUGCAUCCGAAACUGCCUUGCUAGAGUAUGGGAGAGGGAAGUGGAAUUUCCGGUGUAGCGGUGAAAUGCGUAAAUAUCGGAAGGAACAUCAGUGGCGAAGGCGACUUCCUGGACCAAUACUGACGCUCAGGUGCGAAAGCGUGGGGAGCAAACAGG
rnacentral:rRNA from 1 species